UACGGGGGGGGGCAAGCGUUGUUCGGAAUUACUGGGCGUAAAGGGCUUGUAGGUGCCAACUAAGUCAGACGUGAAAUCCCUCGGCUUAACCGGGGAACUGCAUCUGAUACUGGAUGGCUUGAGUUUGGGAGAGGGAUGCGGAAUUCCAGGUGUAGCGGUGAAAUGCGUAGAUAUCUGGAGGAACACCGAGGCGGCAGGAGGGCGGACU
rnacentral:rRNA from 1 species